rnacentral:snRNA from 14 species
UUACUUACCUGGCAGGGGAAAGACCAUGACCAUAAAGGUGGUUUUCCUACUGGCUGGGGAAAACUAUGAACAUGGAAGGAGGGAGUACCCUGACGGAGGUAAUGCAAAGUUAGCCUCCCACUUCCACUUCCAGUGGGAAGAUCUCAGCUAUAUGCUGCCUUUAUGGAAAUGGGAGACUCCUCCCUAGUUUGCUCCUG